rnacentral:lncRNA from 9 species
UGGGGGGUUAAUGAAGGUUUAGAGUGUCUGACACACUUCAGAUGCGUAAAAACCUCACAUCUAUGAAAAGCACGUGGAGCAGCUGUUUGGGGAAAUUUCGGGGAGGAGGGUGCUGCGCCCCCGCCCCCACCCACGCGGUGGGAGCCCGGGACACACCUGCCCAGGGCUGAGCACAGCUUCAUCCUGAAGGACCGAAGGUAAGAGGCACCAGACACACUUCUCACCUAUGUCCAGCAGGUGGCGCUAGCCCCUGCCCGCUGGCCCGUGGACGUCCCGCUGCUUGCGGUGGCUUUGCUUGGGCGCCGCGUCACAGUGCUUUCCUCUGCGGGGGUGGGUCAGCUCCCAGCUCCCUGCGGGGAGCAGAGGACUUUUGGUCCUUCAUCAGGGCCCAGCUGAGGGGCAGCUCCAGGGAGAAGCGACCCUUCCUCAGGGCCUAGCCUAGGGGUCUGUCUGGGGAAGAUGCUCAAAUGCUGAGACCUGAAGGAUGGCUUAAGGCAGGUGACGUGAGAAAUGAGCGGGUAGCUCAGUUUCCCCUGCAAAUGGACCACCAGACAAUUGAAGGAAUUAAAUGCUUAUUAAAGAUUCACUCAUCCCUGUUAACAUUGUCUGUGCGCCUACUAUGUGCCAGGCGCUGUGCCAAACACCAGGGGUGCAGCUGUGACCCAGCAGGUGAGGCCUGGCUCUGGUGGAGCAAACACUGGCAGAUAAACACAUGGGAAAGACAAACGUGUGUCCCAGUUUCAGAGUCAGGGGCCGUGAGGGAAAUCAAACAGCAGGAAACCUUGGAGG